GAUGAACGCUGGCGGCGUGCCUAAUACAUGCAAGUCGAGCGAACAGAUAAGGAGCUUGCUCCUUUGACGUUAGCGGCGGACGGGUGAGUAACACGUGGAUAACCUACCUAUAAGACUGGGAUAACUUCGGGAAACCGGAGCUAAUACCGGAUAACAUAUUGAACCGCAUGGUUCAAUAGCGAAAGGCGGCUUUGCUGUCACUUAUAGAUGGAUCCGCGCCGUAUUAGCUAGUUGGUAAGGUAACGGCUUACCAAGGCAACGAUACGUAGCCGACCUGAGAGGGUGAUCGGCCACACUGGAACUGAGACACGGUCCAGACUCCUACGGGAGGCAGCAGUAGGGAAUCUUCCGCAAUGGGCGAAAGCCUGACGGAGCAACGCCGCGUGAGUGAUGAAGGUCUUCGGAUCGUAAAACUCUGUUAUCAGGGAAGAACAAAUGUGUAAGUAACUGUGCACAUCUUGACGGUACCUGAUCAGAGAGCCACGGCUAACUACGUG
rnacentral:rRNA from 1 species